UGGAGGUCCAUCCUGAUCCUACUUUUUU
rnacentral:piRNA from 1 species